rnacentral:rRNA from 1 species
CAACAUCGCCUCUUGCAAAAUAAAUGAAUAAGAGGUCCCGCCUGCCCUGUGACUAUAUGUUCAACGGCCGCGGUAUUUUGACCGUGCGAAGGUAGCGCAAUCACUUGUCUUUUAAAUGAAGACCUGUAUGAAUGGCAUCACGAGGGCUUAGCUGUCUCCCCCUCCCAGUCAAUGAAAUUGAUUUUCCCGUGCAGAAGCGGGAAUAAGAACAUAAGACGAGAAGACCCUAUGGAGCUUAAGACGCCAGGACAGCUCAUGUUAAACACCCCAGAACAAAGGGAAUAAACUUAGUGAAACCCUGCCCUAGUGUCUUUGGUUGGGGCGACCACGGGGAAAAACUUAACCCCCAUGCGGAAUAGGAAUACUAUUUUCCUAGACUCAAGAGCUCCCGCUCUAAUAGACAGAAUUUCUGACCAAAAGGAUCCGGCAAUGCCGAUCAACGGACCGAGUUACCCUAGGGAUAACAGCGCAAUCCUCUUUAAGAGUCCCUAUCGACAAGAGGGUUUACGACCUCGAUGUUGGAUCAGGACAUCCUAAUGGUGCAGCCGCUAUUAAGGGUUCGCGGUCGAAGAUAGUC